rnacentral:lncRNA from 1 species
AAGAAAAUGACACAUAGGAGUUAAAAGAACAGAAAUAAAUAAAAUUACUUGCUAUCCGCAAGUGAAUAAGCAACAUUAUAUGACGAAACACUGUCAUAGUGAUCAAAAGACUUCAUAAAUAUUCAAAAUAAAUAUUUUACUUGUUUGGAGGAAGAAACAAAAGCAAGCAUUUCAGAGUAAGUAGGAAGGGCUACAAAGCCAUUGUCAUCAAAAUUAAAUUCUAACGUAAAAAAAAAGACUUCAUAAAUAUUCAAAAUAAAUAUUUUACUUGUUUGGAGGAAGAAACAAAAGCAAGCAUUUCAGAGUAAGUAGGAAGGGCUACAAAGCCAUUGUCAUCAAAAUUAAAUUCUAACGUAAAAAUAGUAACUAAAUUUGUCUCAAAAAUAAAACAGGAAGGAUAAAAUCUCAUAAACAAAAAAACAGUACUAAUAACGUCCAAUGCCCCGGACUCUAACAACACCAUCGGUAUAUCCACUAAACAAAGUGCUUCCAUCAGCACUCCAGUUCAAACUAGUGCAGUAAAUGUCCUGCAAAGAAAACGCCAGAAGUAGAGCAAAUAUAUAACUGAAUUGGAAAAACAACAAACCGAAUGCAGAUGCUUGUGUAAAACAAGCCAGAAAUAAAUAGAUUAAAUUUGAGACAUUGUUGAUUAAUACAUACAACAACUAAACAAAGAUUAUUUCAUCAAAUUGCAGCAAGAGAUAAACAACAUAAAUAAAACUCAGGUUAACAAAACCAGUAAAAGAUAAAUGCAAAACCAGUCAUCAAAUAGCUGCAAAAGAUAACACACAUAACCAGUAAAUGAACUUAAAUCAUCAGCAUUAAACCGACACAACAAAACUUCUAGCAUAUCAUAUAAGCUUGAAAAAUAUGGAAAAAAUAAUGGCAGGCAGGAAACAACCAACACUAAAUAAAAAUCAUCUAAACAACUUAAUCAUCUGCGCCAGAUGACUAGCGUUCAGGGAAUUACGAAUAAAACCAAUUAAGAAACAAUCAACUUCAAUUCAAUACCAGGCAAAUAACCAAACAUUCAAACCAUUUCAAGAGUCAUAAACAGAAAGCCCAUAGUCAAAGUAAACAAAAUAAGAAAAAUUCCCUGACAUAUGAUGCAUUUCGCGUGACACAAAAGUUAAAACCAUUUUGUCCAUGGAAGAAAGACAUAUUCAACAUAAAGUAGUCACAAAUUUAAAGAACGACACGACUCCAAAAGAAUAUUCGUUAACAUUAAACAAAUAAGUACGCCCUGCACAGUUAGGAUAAAUCUCUUUACAGAACAAUUCACAUAGUAUCAUCCAUUUAUCAGAUGUUGAAUAAGCUCAGAAAAUCAGGUAAAUAAAAAAAAUUCAAAAAGCAAGAACUAACAAAAUUUAAAUCAACUAGUGUGAUUAAUAACUGUAAUAUAAAAUUUAAAAAAUAUACCUCUUCUUUGGUAGUGUUACCACCGGUGACGGUGUAGCCAUCAGCUCAUGACUUUAAGUCAACUUCAAAUCCUCAACAUGCCUUGCUCUCAAAUGCCGCAGAUCUUUAAUGCUGACUUCGAGUGCAGCACAUAGCCUGAUACCUGUUAGUACUAAAAGCACAAGGCAUGGAUAAUAGAACCCCAUCUUAAGAGAGUAAAGUUCUUCUCCUAGCCAAAAAUCCCACAAAAGAAUAACACCAUCUUUGCAACCACUGGCACAGAGGGAACCAUCAGAGGGAACAUCAAGCAAUCAGGUGUUGAUCAUAUCCAGAGUGUCCAGCUAAGAGUGUUCUCACGCUACCAGAUCUUGCAGUUUGUCAGAUUUCCAAACCUUCAACAGUUUUAUCGCUCAUGAGCAGAGACAAUAGUACGGCUUGUUAGAGUGCUUAGGGCCUCGAACGCACUACAGCCUAACCAAUCAGAAUUGAGCUAUCACCGUCGGCCAUAGCCUGUACUUGCGCACCUCACCGAGAGUGUUCAACAGCUUAAUCGGUGCACGAUAAAACUAGUUUAAGGUAUGCCCAUUAGGUUCUAUAAGCGCUGUCCCGGUUGUUCCAAUAGACAUCUAGUAUGAUCCUGUCGAGAUCUUCCUUGGACCACCCUUCUCAUUACUUGUGUCAACGCAUCUCUAUCCGAUUUAGAAUAAGUUCAGUACAGAUAUAAAGUAUCCCUAUACUAUCUAACAGCAAACAGAUUAACAUUACAUAAUUCUCUAAGUUUCUCAUCUAUUUUCUCUAUCAACUAAUACAAGCUCUUAGUUUCUAUUUCAAAAAUGAAGAAGCAUUUGGUACCUGCUCUGUAAUUGUUUUUGAGAAGCGCACCCCUCCUCCAAAUACACCCACAUGGCCUUCAGGGACUGUGAACAAUGACAAGGAAUUUUAUAAGGAUGAUGAUUGCUGUGGGAACCAAAACCUAUAGAUAACAUAAGACAUGUCUUAAGCUUUAAGUUGUCAAUAAACACUAACACAAACCGAUGUACAACUGAAAGUAACCAGUGUGUCAAUGUCCGCCGACACAUGUCAGAUACAAUAGAAAUAUUCAAUCAGAAAUGUCGGGCUACAUAGUUAGAUGUUGACAACAAUCAAUUCAAUGAAACAUAACCUCAUUAAGCAUUAUCAAUCAAAUCAAUCAAACAAGAACGAAUAUCAAACAACAACAAAUUAAGACAAAGAUUCCAUUGCCUAUGCAUUAUCAUCAAAAUCAAAGCAAGCAAAACAAUUUCAAAACAACAACUAAUGUCAUCUAAACACGCAAGUGUUACACAAGAGUGCCCUAAAAAUACAUCAACAUUGACACAUAAUUAUUAUCACACUAAUUUUUUAUGUGCGAUUGUUUUCAAUGCUGUUAAAUAUAGUUUUUCUAUAUGAAAAUUCAAACAAUGGAUAUUUCACGGCGAUAUAGAUAACAAAAAACAAAAACAGGAAUCGAAUGUUUAACUUUUCAGUAAUACAUUUGGGAAAGAGAUACAGUGAGAUAGAGAGUAUUACGAUAGCGCAAUGGCUAUGAAGGAGAGCAAGAUGAAGGUAACGGAAGGUGGAGUUGAAUCGGUGUGGCGAGCUCGUGUUGGAACGCUGCGAAUCCAUGGCGGUGCAACUUUCUUGGCUGUUUGAUUCUGAGUUUGGGUUUGGUAUAUUUUGCUUUAUUGGUCAUCAUGCGGUUCUUCUAAAACACGUUCAAUGAUUGAAACCGAAAAAUUGGAAGUGUAUUCGGUUCGCUGUUAUGGUUUUCGCUGAUAGGGUUCAACGUUCGCAGGAGGAAAACAAAAGAACAGAGAACGAAAAUUGAAAUGGAGUCUGAAAUUUUAUUUUAAUUAGACCUUAGACAGCGCUUUGUGGAAAGCGGCUUUCUAAGUAUGCCUUUUAGACAGCGCUUUCCAAAAGCGCUUUCUAACCCCCCCUUAGACAGCGCUUUGGUUUUAAUUUUUUUUUAAUUUAAAGACUUUAGACAGCGCUUUAUCAAAAGCGCUGACUAAGGUCUAUAUUUAAAAGCGCUGUCUAAGGGGGGGUCUUAGACAGCGCUUUUAGAAAGCGCUGUCUAAGACCCCCCUUUAGACAACGCUUUCAUUAUUUUUUUGGAACAUUUUCCGUGUUUUAUUUUAAUUUUAACCUUAGACAACGCUUUCUUUUAAAAGCGUUGUCUAAGAUGCGCUGUUAAAAGUCAUUUUUGGCGUAGUGUUCCCAUUUUCUCGAACAAGGUAUAGGGCAUUAGAUUGACUGCAACACCCCGUCGACAAACACCUUAUUCACCGCCAUUCCAUCAACCUUAACUCUGAUGAACAAUGGUUUUAGGUGGUACAUCAUCCCAGGACUAGGCCUUUCAAACAUAGCUUUAUGUUCUUCCACCACGCUGUUAUUCAUGACAUAGUAGCAUAAAGGUUUUCCUCCAUCUGUUUCGUCUGGUAUAAAGUCUCCCUUUAUUUCAGAAACUUUAAAUACCAUGUCAUAUUCAGCUGGUAGCACCGACACAAUGCCACAGUUUACGACGAAAUCAUCACCAUAUAUAUCAUCGUGGUUUUCGUCGUACAUGUCCUCGUCAAAUACCUCGUCAGACUGAGGGGAAUAUUCAGGCCCCCCCUUCUCUGGUUGGGGAGAAUACUCUGGUUCCUCCUCCUUCGAAUUGCCCUCGCUUCGUGGCUGUCUCUCGAUCUCUGACGAACAUUCCACAUUCUGAGUAGCUAUCACUGCCUCUUUUCCCGUCCAGUCGACGGUCAUGGCCACUGUCUGAUUGGCCAUCAUUUUUCCUGGUCCUUUUGCCUUUGACAUCUGUUCCUUUUGUUCAGUGGUCUUUGAAGUCUUCGACUGUGGAGUGGUAAUGACUUUCCGAGCUUUUUUGUUUUGCUGGUGGCGUCUCCACUGUGUCAUCGUCAUUUUAUUCUUUCCCUUGUAGUUAGGGGAGAUUGUGUAGCAUCUUUUCUUCUCUGGAGAUGUUGUCUCUUUCUCCAACACCCUCAAUUUGGCUUUUUGCCCCCUUUCUGAUUGACAGAUUCUAUCCAUUUCUCCUGUGGAACAUCAGUUGGAGGAAUGAAAGUCUUUGGUCGGGAACGCUUAAAUUGUCUUCUAUAAUCCUCGUUCCGUCGAGGUGCUCUAUGAAUGUCAAUCACAGAUCAUGGGACAUCAGGCUUUUCCUCUUUAACAACCUUGUUGUCGGCCUCUAGUCUUUCGACGGUUUUCUCGUCGAACACCGCGCUGCACUUUGGGCACAUCACAUCUUUUGACCCAUUUCCCUUGCACUUCUCCUGGAAGUAUGACAAGCUUUUUCCAGGCUAGGGACAGGGCGACUCGGGCCUCCUUUCGUCUUUGUUUCCGAAACACUCAGUAGUUUCGACCAUCAUCAUUUCAAAUGAUUCAACUAACGAGGUUGCUUUGGAAACCUCAAUGAGAACAUUAGUAGUCUCUACCAUUUUGCACUCUAGAGGCUCUGCAUACAAAUCUUCUUCCACCUUCAGAGGUUCAAAAUCCACCUGCAUUUUUGGCCUUUCGACAAACUGGAGCCUUCCUUCUUUCAGAGAUUUCUGCACCAAAUCCCUAAAAAGAACACAUUGGUGAGUUUUGUGACCAAGGAAAUUAUGAAAUUUAUAAAAUCCACCUUUCUUCUUUUGUUCUAGGGGAGGGUCUUUUAAACCCUGAGGGAUGAUAAUCUGACCAUCUUUUACUAAUAGAUCAAAGAUUCCGUCGCACUUAGACACAUCGAACGUAUAUGUCUUAGCUAUGUAUUUGUCUGUUCUCUCUCGUUCGACAAGGUUUUUUCCAUCCGAUGGCUUCAAAACCUUACACGCAUAUGGAGGUCCGGGCUUAAGUUUUGCCACAUUAACCUCACUCCUGUCGACUGUAUCUUCGUCAUCGGAAGAGACUCCUUCGACUAUGAUAUAGGACACUUUUUCCUUCUUAUGAUAUCGACCCGCCUUUGACUUCUCAUCUUUCAAGCAUUCGAUACGUCAAACCCUAUCAGCCAAUUGGGCCAUAUCCCUAAGAUAUUGAGUAUCCAUCCUUUUCCUUAUAGAAUAAUCUAGAUCCCCUGUCGCCAUCUCGAUUAGUUCGUGUUCAGGGACUUGAGUAAAGCACCAUGCCUUCAGUAGUCUAAACCUGUUCAGGUACUGAUCAAUUGAUUUAGUAACCUUUCGCUUAAUGUUAGCAAGUUCUUUGAGGUUGAUCUUUGAUUGUCCCAUGUAGAAUUGUUCAUGGAACAACCUCUCCAACUGUGUUCAUGUUUGGAUCGACUUUGGAGGAAGCAUCGUGAACCAUAUGAACGCGUUUUUUGUCAAAGAACUUGGGAAGUAUUUUAACUUCAAAUCUUCAUUUUUCGAUAUGUCUCCAGCCUCGGUCUGGUACCUGGCCACGUGCUCGACGGUGGAUUCUUCAGUAUCCCUAGCGAACUUAGUAAAUUAGGGACUUUCCAUCCCCUUGGCAAUUCUGUCUGUAAGACAAAAUCUGGUAGAGGAGAGGAGUACGUCGGCCGUUGGAUGCAAAGACUUGCUCCAUUUCACAGUAUGAUCCAUUCGAAGAUAGCCUCUAGGUUUUGUUCCCCUAUGGCUGCAUCGUGUCGAACUUGUCGAACCACCUGGUCUGGAUCCUGGUUACGGUUAACCAGUAUCACGGGGGCCUUUGUGCCACCCUUCGGAUGUGUUCGAAUUCCUGAUAUUCCUGUUCGACAGUGUCAUCUAUCAUCUUUUCUUGUCGAACUGGUGUUUCUGGUCGAGGAGGAGGUGUGGGAUUUCGACAAACUUAAGCCCUUGGAGCUCCCCAAAAAAUAUCCAAUCCUUAUCAUUUGGGUCUCCAACUAGUGGCAACUCUGCGUCGAAUCCUGGAUCAAUGGUCUCAAAAUAGUACCCAUUUGUUGAGUUAGCAUAUGUACCAUUUCAUGGUUGCUUUCGUCCAUCUGUUGUCUCAUAACGACAUCAGAGCUUGACGUAAAAGUUGGGACUGAUUGAGACGUCAAUCCGAAACCUGGGGGUCGACCAAAUGGGGUUGCCAAAUGUCCUAACCCCUAGUAAAAAGAGAAUGGCGAUGACGAGGUAUCAUUUUAAGUCGAACUGAGGUUAUGCAUAUUUGCCAUAAACUCCGUCGGCAUUCCCAACGUUCUGUUCAUGGUGCCCCUAUUUAAGGACAUUCUAACUGAGGAGGCGAAGGUUAAAAUCUUCAUGUCGACUCAGUAGAAUGGGCUUAAAUAAAAACAUAUAGAAACAAACUUUGGUCCCUAAGAGACCUCAUGAUGCAUAUGAUAUGAAUGUAAAAGUUAAUGCUCUAUGGGGAAAUAUUGCCACAAAGGAAAAAGAAGUCGGAGAGACCGAAAGUCCGCAGGAGUAAAAUGCAUUCCGUAAGGAAAACUCACUGGGGAGACCGAGACUCUGAGGGGAAAAAGAGGUUACACGUAGGCCAGGCUACGACUUAAAACUGCUGGGGGACUCGAGGGACUCCAUACAAACAUGGAAAAGACUUAGCCGAGGAACUACAACAUCUACAGGGGAUACGAGUAAGUCAGGAUAAAACUGAAGUACUUAAAUCAUGCAGGGAAAAUGAUUUCACUAAGGAAAUGCGCAUUCAAUUCAACUGGGGAGAAAUAAACUUCAACACAGGAGGAACAGAAAUCUAUUAUCUACUACCUGUUACUGGGUAAGGAGAUAAUAAAGAUCUGACAGAGAGGAUGCCCGUCAUCGGUUAGGAUGAAUAUAUCAAGGAUAGACUCAAGCAGGGGAGAGAAAGAUAUAUGUAACCGGUUAGGGUGAACAUAUCAAGGAUGUACUUCCUGGGGAAUCAGAUCCACUGGGGACUCCACUGCUGGGAAAGCUGGGGUACUUUUGCCGGGUAUUGGGCAAGAAGUAACAAACUGCAAACUAAGAAGAAUAUUACCAGUUACUGGGAAAUAGACUCUUAGGGGACUCAAAGCAUCUAUCUAGGUAAGAGCUGAAAGAAACGGUCAAUCAAGACUCAACCCAUUGAUGACAUAACCCAAGGGGAGUGAUUCCAUCCAGAUAAUUAACUGGGGAGGAAACUGAAAUAAUAAUCAUCCACGAGGAAACAAACUCAGUGGGGGAAAGGAGAAAGGUUAAAGUCUUUCUGCUUAAGGGGCUGACACUCUACAAUUGAAGGAGGACAGACACCAGAUUUUGUAUGGGGAUAGAGUACCGCCAUAACAAAGAAUAAUCUAAAACUCAGUGGGGGAAAGGAGAAAGGUUAAAGUCUUUCUGCUUAAGGGGCUGACACUCUACAAUUGAAGGAGGACAGACACCAGAUUUUGUAUGGGGAUAGAGUACCGCCAUAACAAAGAAUAAUCUUGAAUGAAUCAAUCAAAUAUGAUAAUGAAAAUCAUGAAAUUAUAUGAAUGUGUAUGUAUAUGUAUAUAUGAUGAUUAUGCUGACAACACGAUCACAAAGGAUACCGAGGCGUCGCAAAGAAUUUGAAUCAUCGGUACAAUCCUCGGUUAAUCCAUAAGAUAUGGAGAGAACUGCUGGAGAACAGAGAGAUCAUUAAUCCGAAAAGGCUCAACCCUAACUGGGGAAGAAGCAGAUCUGCUGAGGAAAGAAACCUCAAAUUUGUCGGGAAUUUUAGGUAAACACCAUAAAAAUGAGAGAUAACCCUACAGGGAAUGAUCACAAAAAAAAAGUUGCUCAGAAACCAGGAGGAAACUCUGACUAGGAGCAAGUCGGACGGCGAUUGGCGGGGAAGCCAAUGCGAUCUACUAGGGAAAUCAACCAUAUCUGCUGACGAUCAACCCUGCUGAGGAAACACAAACUCCGUUGGCGAAGGCAGAAACUCUGUCGGGGAAAAUAACACACCGUAGGGUAUCUGAAUCAACCAACUCAGCUGCAGAAAAAGAACGAAGCUUUUACUGGAGAGAACAAACAUUCCGCCGAGGAACUGAAUCAACACAAACGUCCAGGGAUACCCAAAGGGUUAAUUGCUUGGGGAACCUCUGAUGUUUCUCACUGAAGGACUUGCUAUCUCUUAAAAUGUUGUUGAUAUUCCUUUUAAUUGCUUUGAAAAAUUAUUGCUUUUAUAUAUUUUUAUGAAAAAGAGAUUUUAAUUAAAAAAUUUAAAUUUUCAAAAUGAUCAUAAUAAAAUUUAAAACUAUUGGCUGAAGUAAAUAAGAGUAGAAACAAUUGGACAAAAGCUCAACUUUAUUGGAUGGAAUAGUUGAGCUUUCGGGUUUUCAAUCCACCGAGACGCUCUUUUUUCCUAAGCCGCCCUUUCGGGUUUUCAACUUAGCGAGUUGUUCUGUUUUUAGGCGAAGUAUUUCUUGACUGCAUCUGCGUUCACAGGACGAGUGAACUCUUCACCAUCCAUAGUUGUAAGUAUCAAUGCACCGCCUGAAAAGGCUCUCUUAACAACAUAUGGGCUUUCAUAAUUAGGAGUCCAUUUUCCUCUAGAAUCUUGUUUGAAGGAUAAAAUCUUCUCGAGCACAAGGUCACCUUCUUUGAACACAUGAGGUUUGACCUUCUUAUCAAAAGCUUUCUUCAUCCUUUGCUGAUACAACUGACCAUGACACAUGGCAGUUAAUCUCUUCUCUUCAAUCAAAUUCAACUGCUCAAACCUGGUCUAACACCAUUCAACCUCAGUCAACUUGGCUUCCAUAAGCACACGCAAUGAAGGAAUCUCAACCUCUACGGGGAGCACUGCUUCCAUACCAUACACAAGAGAGAAAGGGGUUGCCCCUGUUGAAGUGCGAAUGGAUGUACGAUACCCAUGUAAAGAAAAUGGGAGCAUCUCAUGCCAAUCCUUAUAUGUGACAACCAUCUUCGGAAUAAUCUUCUUGACGUUCUUGUUCGCGGCUUCAAUAGCCCCAUUCAUCUUAGGUCUGUAGGAGAAGAGUUAUGAUGUGCAAUCUUGAAGUCUUUGCAAAGAACUUCCACCAUAUUGUUAUUCAAGUUCGAUCCAUUGUAAGUAAUGAUCUUACUUGGCACACCAUAACGACAUAUAAUUUGAUUCUUGAUAAACCUUACAACAACUUGCUUGGUUACAUUUGCAUACGACGCCGCUUCAACCCAUUUGGUGAAGUAGUCAAUUGCCACCAAAAUGAAACGAUGUCCAUUCGAAGCUUUGGGCUCAAUCAUCCCAAUCAUAUCAAUUUCCCACAUGGAGAAGGGCCAUGGGGACAAGGUAACAUUCAAUAGUGUCGGAGGAACAUGAAUCUUAUCAGCAUAAAUUUUACACUUGUGGCAUUUCUUCACAAAUUUGCAAUAGUCAGAUUCCAUUGUCAACCAAUAGUAAUCUGCUCUCAACAUCUUCUUCGCCAUUGCAUGUCCAUUGGAAUGAGUACCAAAGGAACCUUCAUGCAGUUCAGUCAUCGACAAGUUUGCUUCGUGUCUAUCCAUACAUCUGAGCAAAACCAUGUCGAAGUUUCUCUUGUAUAGUAUAUCACCAUUCAAGUAGAAAUUGCCGGCUAAUCUUCUCAAAGUCUUCUUAUCUUUCAAAGAUGCAUAAGACGGGUAAAUAUGACUUUGGAGGAAACAUUUGAUAUCGUAAUACCACGACUUCUCGUCUUUGAUCUCUUCAACAACAAUCAUUGACGCCAAUGUUGUAGGAGCAUCUGCCAUCCGGUUUUCAUCUCGAGGGAUAUGAUGAAACUCAACCUUUGUAAAGAAAGUUGAAAUCCUCCUCGCAUAAUCUCUAUAUGGUAUUAAACCGGGUUGAUUUGUCUCCCAUUCUCCUUUGACUUGAUUCACAACCAAAGCCGAAUCACCGAAGACAUCCAAAUACUUGAUUCUGAGAUUCAUGACCUCUUCGAGCCCCAUAAUGCAAGCUUCAUAUUCUGCCAUAUUGUUAGUACACUUGAAAGUCAAUCUAGCUGUAAAUGGUAGAUGCGUGCCUUGAGGAGUAAUAAUCACUGCCCCAAUGCCAUUUCCAUAUUGGUUAACAGCUCCAUCAAAUACAAUGCCCCAACGGGAUACAGGUUCUGGCCCUUCUUCAAGCAAUGGUUCAUCACAAUAUUUCAUUUUUAAGUACAAAAUCUCUUUAUCAGGGAAAUCAUAUUGCCAUGUCUGGUAAUCUUCAAUUGGUUGGUGAGCGAAAUGGUCAGCCAAGAUACUACCUUUGAUUGCUUUCUAAGAUCGGUAUUCGAUAUCAUACUCUGAUAACAACAUCUGCCAACGGGCAAUUCUCCCAGUUAAAGCAGGCUUCUCAAAUAUAUACUUGAUUGGAUCCAUUUUGGAUAUUAACCGAGUGGUAUGAUUUAACAUAUACUGGCGCAGACGCUUAGCAGCCCAAGCCAAUGCGCAACAAUUUUUCUCAAGCAUACAAUACCGAGUCUCACAGUCGGUGAACUUCUUACUGAGGUAGUAAAUUGAAAAUUCUUUCUUUCCAUUCUCAUCUUGCUAACCAAGAACACAACCCAUACUUUCAUCAAGCACAGUCAAAUACAUGAUCAAUGGUCUUCCUUCAACAGGUGGAGACAAAAUCGAAGGUUCAAGCAAAUAUUCCUUGAUACUGUCAAAAGCUUUUUGUCAGUCUUCGGUCCAAUCACAAGACUGAUCUUUCUGAAGAAGCUUGACUAUAGGCGCACAUGUGGCAGUCAUAUGGGAAAUGAAUCUGGAGAUAUAAUUCAAGCCCCCGAGAAAACCUUUGACUUGCUUCUCAGUUUUGGGCGCAGGCAUCUCUUGUAUUGCUUUGACCUUGGCAGGAUCAACUUCAAUACCCUUCUCGUUGACAAUAAAGCCCAACAACUUACCAGAACGAACACCAAAAGUACACUUAUUGGGAUUAAAGCGAAGUUUAUAUUUCCUCAAACGCUGGAAUAGCCUCAACAAAUGCUCAACAUGUUCAUCUUCAUUAAUUGAUUUAGCAAUCAUGCCAUCAACAUAAACUUCAAUCUCUUUAUGCAUCAUAUCAUGAAAAAGAGUAGUCAUUGCUCUUUGGUAAGUUGCACCAGCAUUCUUUAAACCGAAAGGCAUCACUCUAUAACUCUUACAAGGGGUUCCUGUAAUGAAUGUGGUCUUCUCCAUAUCUUCGGGUGCCAUCUUGAUCUGAUUAUAUCCAGAAAAUCCAUCCAUAAACGAAAAGACUUUGAAUUUAGCAGUAUUGUCUACCAAUAUAUUAAUGUGUGGCAGAGGGAAAUCAUCUUUCGGACUAGCUUUAUUCAAAUCUCUAUAAUCAACACACAUGCGUACUUUUCCAUCUUUCUUCGGCACUGGCAAAAUAUUGGCCACCCAUUGCGGAUACUCAGCGGUCACAAGGAAACCGACAUCAAUCUGCUUCUGCACUUCCUCUUUGAUCUUCACAACCAUAUCAGGACGCGUUCUUCUCAACUCCUCCUUGACUGGCGUGCAUUCUGGCUUCAACGGCAAUCUAUGCUCCACAAUAUCAGAAUCCAACCCAAGCAUGUCUUGAUAGGACCAAGCAAACACAUCUGAAUACUCUCGAAGAAGAUCAAACAACCCCUUCUUAGCAUCUGGACACAGGCGAGACCCAAUCUUGACUUCCUUCACAUCAUCUUCAGAACCCAAGUUGACUAGUUCAAUCUGCUCUUCAAACGGAUUAAUGGUCUUUUCAUCUUGCUCAAGAAGGCGAGAUAAUUCAUCACUCACUUCUACAUCACUUUCCUCCUCGGCCUCAAACACAGGGAAUUCAAAAUUUGGAGAAGAAGAAGGAUCAUUGUAUUUAAUUGGGUUAGGAACCAACCUGCAUAAUGAUUUGAUAUUUUGAUUUUAGAGAAGUGAAUAUUGUGACCAAAUAUUAUGCAGAUGGACAAUUAUAUUGUUUAUUUAUGUUUUUUGUGAUUACCAUUUUCAGAAUAAAGCAACAAGUAAAAACAAACAUCAUAGAUGUGGAUGAAUAAAAUUAAUUUUAUUAAUGAUCAAUUGAAAAUGCCCAAACAAGUCCACUUCUCCCUUAGGCAUAGGAGACGGAUUUAAAAACAUAUAAAAGUAUUUACUUAGAUUGAUGGAAAAUAACAGGAAUAUCAAUAGGAGUCUAAUUGUUGCACGUCUUUCCAUGCGUCACAAAAUUGGUGCAGUCUUCCUCUUCGUCAUCCUCUAGCACAACAGCUAAGUGUUGUUCAUUGCCAUGAAUGAACCCUCCACUACGGAAGCUGAGUUGUAUAUCUUCAGAUCUUGCAAUUGAUGAGCCUUUCUGGAACCCCAAACCGGUUAUGCCCUUGUUGUCGGAGACCUCUAUCAUGCGCCCCCACUGAUCAAUAGUUCCUUCUUCAACAA